CCUACGGGCGGCUGCAGUGGGGAAUAUUGGACAAUGGGGGGAACCCUGAUCCAGCCAUGCCGCGUGUGUGAAGAAGGCCCUCGGGUUGUAAAGCACUUUCAGUGAGGAAGAACGCCUGGUGGUUAAUACCCAUCAGGAAAGACAUCACUCACAGAAGAAGCACCGGCUAACUCCGUGCCAACAGCCGCGGUAAUACGGAGGGUGCGAGCGUUAAUCGGAAUUACUGGGCGUAAAGCGCGCGUAGGUGGCUUGAUAAGCCGGUUGUGAAAGCCCCGGGCUCAACCUGGGAACGGCAUCCGGAACUGUCAAGCUAGAGUGCAGGAGAGGAAGGUAGAAUUCCCGGUGUAGCGGUGAAAUGCGUAGAGAUCGGGAGGAAUACCAGUGGCGAAGGCGGCCUUCUGGACUGACACUGACACUGAGGUGCGAAAGCGUGGGUAGCAAACAGGAUUAGAUACCCCUGUAGUC
rnacentral:rRNA from 1 species